AGAUGUGAAGGCGAUCACACUGCGACAUCUACUACCCCACUGAUCACCAGGGUUGAUUCAGCUGAUCCCUCACGGCUCCCUGUGCAGCCCUCCCGAAGCUGCGCGCUGGGUCAAAAAGGACGACCUUCCCCACCGGAGGAGGAUCAUUCUUGGGUCAUGGGAAUGCGAGUAGCUGCGCUCCCCUGCUAGAACCUCCAAACAAGCUCUCGAGAAACUUUCCUUUAGACUUCCACAGCUUUCUGAUCAUAUUUUUAAAAAUUUUUAAGUUUAUCUGACUUCUUUAGUUUUUU
rnacentral:snRNA from 1 species